GGGGUUGUGACUCAGUGGUAGAUUACUUGCCUAGCAUGUAUGAGGCACUGGGUUCAAUUCUCAGCACCACA
rnacentral:tRNA from 1 species